UACGUUACAGGCAAGAUGGCUGUCUCCAGGAAGUGGCUGUGAAUGCAGGAGCUGUGUCUGCUGCCUGUCUGGCUUUGUACAAAAGUCUAGUGUGAUUUCUCAGCAGCAAUGUGUUCUAACUCUUCUGUGUUCCUUUUUACACACUGAUGGAGUCAUUCCCUAGAGAGAAAUUUCUUAUCCACUGGGUAACACCGGCCCAGAAAUUAUUUUCUAAUAAUAGACUUGUGUGUCCACUAUUAAGACUGUUAAAUGUUUCUUUGCUUCCUUCAGAGUUGCUGAGGGCUCAGACCUCAUGAAUAGGUCACCACAAAAAUCAAGAGACAUGAGAGCCUUUAAAGCGUGUCUACUUAGAAUUCUCAGAACAAGCCACUAUCUGCUUCUUCGGUCCACUGUGAAGAACCUAUAAAGAAUUUGUAUCGUAAGCUGGAGAGUGUCUAAACAUGGACAACCAAAAUGGUUUGUCAAUUGGCACACUCCCAGUUUCGUGAUUAUAUGGAUAUGCAAGUGAUUCAACACUAUGUGAAACUGCAUUGGGUAAGACUUUAAAACAUUCUAUCUCCCCACCUACCAGGCCUUC